GUGCUGCUAGUUAAGCCGACCAGCUCCCUUAGUUCAUGGGACCUGGUGUGCAGUGGCUGCAAGCGGCGGCCUCCUUGGUAGUGUGUGCAACCUGCUUGUAUGGGUUGCCCUAAGGGACCUUGGAGACAGUC